rnacentral:rRNA from 1 species
AACGAGCGCAACCCUUGCCCAUUAGUUGUCAGCGAGUCAUGUCGGAUACUCUAAUGGGACUGCCGGUGACGAGCCGGAGGAAGGUGGGAUGACGUCAAGUCAGCAUGGCCUUUAUGUCCAGGGCCACACACGUGCUACAAUGGACGGUACAGAGGGACGCAAGACCGCAAGGUGGAGCAAAUCCUCAAAACCGUUCUCAGUUCAGAUUGUAGGCUGCAACUCGCCUGCAUGAAGAUGGAGUUGCUAGUAAACGCAGGUCAGCUAUACUGCGUUGAAUACGUUCCCGGGGCUU